rnacentral:rRNA from 1 species
UACGUAGGGUGCAAGCGUUGUCCGGAAUUAUUGGGCGUAAAGAGCUCGUAGGCGGUUUGUCGCGUCGAAUGUGAAAACCCGGGGCUCAACCCCGGGCCUGCAUUCGAUACGGGCAGACUAGAGUUCGGUAGGGGAGUCUGGAAUUCCUGGUGUAGCGGUGAAAUGCGCAGAUAUCAGGAGGAACACCGGUGGCGAAGGCGGUGAUCUGGGCCAGUACUGACGCUCAAGAGCGAAAGCGUGGGUAGCGAACAGG